CCCUUAGAGUUUGAUGGUGGCUCAGAUUGAACGCUGGCGGCAUGCUUUACACAUGCAAGUCGAACGGCAGCACGGGUGCUUGCACCUGGUGGCGAGUGGCGGACGGGUGAGUAAUGCAUCGGAACGUGUCCAGGAGAGGGGGAUAACGCAUCGAAAGAUGUGCUAAUACCGCAUAUUCUCUGAGGAGAAAAGCAGGGGAUCGUAAGACCUUGCGCUUCUGGAGUGGCCGAUGCCUGAUUAGCUAGUUGGUGGGGUAAAGGCCUACCAAGGCGACGAUCAGUAGUUGGUCUGAGAGGACGACCAGCCACACUGGGACUGAGACACGGCCCAGACUCCUACGGGAGGCAGCAGUGGGGAAUUUUGGACAAUGGGCGAAAGCCUGAUCCAGCAAUGCCGCGUGAGUGAAGAAGGCCUUCGGGUUGUAAAGCUCUUUCAGUCGAGAAGAAAAGAUCGUGAUGAAUAAUCACGAUUUAUGACGGUAUCGACAGAAGAAGCACCGGCUAACUACGUGCCAGCAGCCGCGGUAAUACGUAGGGUGCAAGCGUUAAUCGGAAUUACUGGGCGUAAAGGGUGCGCAGGCGGCUUUGUAAGUCAGAUGUGAAAUCCCCGGGCUUAACCUGGGAAUUGCGUUUGAAACUACAAGGCUAGAGUGUAGCAGAGGGGAGUGGAAUUCCAUGUGUAGCAGUGAAAUGCGUAGAGAUAUGGAAGAACAUCGAUGGCGAAGGCAGCUCCCUGGGUUAACACUGACGCUCAUGCACGAAAGCGUGGGGAGCAAACAGGAUUAGAUACCCUGGUAGUCCACGCCCUAAACGAUGUCAACUAGUUGUUGGGCCUUACUAGGCUUAGUAACGUAGCUAACGCGUGAAGUUGACCGCCUGGGGGAGUACGGUCGCAAGAUUAAAACUCAAAGGGAAUUGACGGGGACCCGCACAAGCGGG
rnacentral:rRNA from 1 species